rnacentral:rRNA from 1 species
GACGAACGCUGGCGGCGUGCUUAACACAUGCAAGUCGAACGGAAAGGCCCUGCUUUUGUGGGGUGCUCGAGUGGCGAACGGGUGAGUAACACGUGAGUAACCUGCCCUUGACUUUGGGAUAACUUCAGGAAACUGGGGCUAAUACCGGAUAGGAGCUCCUGCUGCAUGGUGGGGGUUGGAAAGUUUCGGCGGUUGGGGAUGGACUCGCGGCUUAUCAGCUUGUUGGUGGGGUAGUGGCUUACCAAGGCUUUGACGGGUAGCCGGCCUGAGAGGGUGACCGGCCACAUUGGGACUGAGAUACGGCCCAGACUCCUACGGGAGGCAGAAGGGGGGAAUAUGGCACAAUGGGCGGAAGCCUGAUGCAGCAACGCCGCGUGCGGGAUGACGGCCUUCGGGUUGUAAACCGCUUUCGCCUGUGACGAAGCGUGAGUGACGGUAAUGGGUAAAGAAGCACCGGCUAACUACGUG